rnacentral:misc_RNA from 1 species
UGGUUCUGGCAUCGAUGAAGAACGCAGCGAAAUGCGAUAAGUAAUGUGAAUUGCAGAAUUCAGUGAAUCAUCGAAUCUUUGAACGCAUAUUGCGCCCCUUGGUAUUCCUUGGGGCACACCUGUUCGAGCGUCAUUUCACCAAUCAAGCCUCGCUUGGUUUUGGGCGAUGCGCAUGUCGCACGCCUCAAAUGCCCCGGCCGAGCAGUCUCUCACCCGGCGUCGUGGAAACAUACCGCUACGGAGACGAGACCUGCCCGUGCCGCAGAAUAACCUAUUAACAAAGGUUGACCUCGGAUCAGGUGGGGAUACCCGCUGA